GGGCAAUCAAUGUAUUUUUCUUCUCUCCAUCACAUUAAGGAUCAACACAAGAAAUUCAGAAAAACAUUGGCUAGAAAUAUCAAGAUAAGAUGAGCAAUUUCUCUGUAAAUAUCAUGAUGAAACAAAGAGACGCCAAAAAUAGGACUUUUGUCCAGAAUACACCAUGACUGUAACAUAGAUUGUUCCCCAUUUCAGAAACUUUCAGUUGAA
rnacentral:misc_RNA from 1 species